AAAUCAAAAAUUAGAAAAGAGAGAGAACAACGGGAAUAAUGUUAAAAGAUUUAAUGCGAUGCACUACACAAACUUUGCAAAAACAAUCAUGAAGGGCAGUUCCCUAAUUCUGAUAAUAAAGAAGUCCGUACAGUAGAAACUAUGACAACAAUGACAGAAUGCUCCACGUUGUACCACUUAUAUUGGUAAACAGCCUCGUAAAUCCCGUUGCACUUGAUGAACAGUGAAAACGAUCAAAGAAUACGUUCAAGGAAAUUAAUAAGGAAAAUACUUACUUGGAUAACUAAAAAUUCCCUUAUCACGCAAUAAAGGCACAUAUGCGUGAACG